rnacentral:rRNA from 1 species
UAAUAAUAUAAUGUUUAGAAACUUAAAAGAUCUGGCGGUAAAUUAAUAAAAUUAGAGGAACUUGCAUAAUAAUAGAUACCACACAAUUUAUCUCACUUUUUUUAAUAAAAGUUUGUAUACCGCUGUUUAGAGUAUUUUUAAAAAAGAAAUAUUCAAUUUUAUAAUUAAUUUAAAUCAAGUCAUGGUGCAGCUUAUAAAAAAGUUUAUUGUGAGUUACAAUUAUUAUAAUAAUUGGAUUUAAAAUUGUAAUAUUUUUAUGAAACUGGAUUUAAAAGUAUUAAUUUAAUAGAAAGAAAUUAAGAAUUUUAAUUUAAUUUAUGU